AGGUGAAGCCAUCAGUGUCUACAGCUUCAGCUAUUGCCCGUGUGCAGAUGGUGCUUAAUCUCUCUUGUGCCUUCCAGACCUGCAUUCCAGCCACCUACCAAACCCCUUUCUGUGGAUGCCAAGAAAAGUCUUCAGACCGUGGACAAUGUGCUCUUUGCCCCUAUUAUGGAGAAAGGUGUUCCCUAGGUGGACUAUCAUCUCCGAACACUCCUAAGAAAUGGAAGAUAGUCUCUUAAGAGGACAGCCCAGAGGUAGUUUGAGGAAACGUCUGACAGCAGGAAAAACAACUUCAGCAGAUGCCCCUUUGGCCAAAGCAUGCUGUUAAAACUGACUCUACUGACACCUGGUGGAGAGUAGGGUAACUUCUCCCUGCUAAAGAGGGUGUGUGUGUAUGUGUGUGUGUGUGUGGGGGGGGGGGGGGUGUGUGGGGUGUGUGUGUGAUGAACGGAUUGGAAACACAUUCAUCAUGUCAGGGAAAUUAAUUCCUAAGGAAUGAGGGUACCAUGCAGAACCACCAGAUGCCAGAAUAUAUAAUUGUGGUUAGGUGACUCACUGAGACACAUGCAUGAAAAACAACAAACAAG
rnacentral:lncRNA from 1 species